rnacentral:rRNA from 1 species
CACGUAGGGGGCAAGCGUUGUCCGGAUUCAUUGGGCGUAAAGAGCUCGUAGGCGGUUCGAUAAGUCGGGUGUGAAACCUCCAGGCUCAACCUGGAGACGCCACCCGAUACUGUCGUGACUAGAGUCCAGUAGGGGAGCGUGGAAUUCCUGGUGUAGCGGUGAAAUGCGCAGAUAUCAGGAGGAACACCAGCGGCGAAGGCGGCGCUCUGGGCCGGUACUGACGCUGAGGAGCGAAAGCGUGGGGAGCAAACAGG